AAGUCCCGCAACGAGCGCAACCCUUACCGUGAGUUACCAGCAUUAAGUUGGGGACUCUCGCGGAACUGCCGGUGAUAAACCGGAGGAAGGUGGGGAUGACGUCAAGUCCUCAUGGCCUUUAUGUCCAGGGCUACACACGUGCUACAAUGGCUGGUACAAACCGCCGCGAAGUCGCGAGACGGAGCCAAUCGGAAAAAACCAGUCUCAGUUCGGAUUGGCGACUGCGGGAAAGACUCCAUGAAGUUGGAAUCGCUAGUAAUCGCAGAUCAGCAUGCUGCGGUAAAUACGUUCCC
rnacentral:rRNA from 1 species